UCUAGUAUGAGCUUCUUGAUGCCUUUUAUUAAUCUGGAACAAGAAGCUGAUCACUUUUCAUCACAAUCAGAGACAUUAUAUAUAUAUAUAUAUUUAGAUGCCUUUUUUUUUGGUUUCUUUUUUAAAAUCUUUUCUUGGUUUGACUUUAUGCUGUAAUUACAUAUGCCUCUAAAUCAAAGGUUUGUUUUCUGGAUUUGUUGAUACUUCAGCUUCCAUCUGGAAGAAGGCUGCCAAUAAAUCAUGAAUGUAGAGGCACAAGAAUAAUGUCUAUGGUGUUCAUGAAUAUUUUGGUGGUUGAACUCUUAGAUGACAAAUAAUGUGGGGCACGAAUGGAUACCUAUGUCAGUGCUGCCUUAUGAAAAACUUUAUCCAAGUCAGGAUGAACAUCUGAAACCUUUCUCAACUUCUAGGGCCUAGUACAGUUAGUUGUCUGUCGUCAUAUACUUCUAAACAACUGAAACUGUUGUUAAUAUUCAUUUCUCAUUUUAAUUUUGCCGGAUCAUGUAUUCAUUCUAGCUGCUACUGCACUUCUCAAUUGCAUUGUAUUGAAAAUAAGUUGCUUUCUAUUCAUGGGCGUUGCUUUCACCAUCUCAGUUGGAGCAUUAAUGGGAUUUUACUAGACAGGGAUUAGGAGGAAGUUUAACUUUGAGGUCUUAGAUCUUUGUCUUAAUCCCUACGUUCGAGGAGCCAUUGUAAUGAACAAGAAGACGAUGUCGUCUAAGACUUUGUUGGAAGAUGUUUUGUUUCAUGUUUUGUAUCAUUUUGAAAAUUAUGCUUCUUAGCUUUGUAGAUCAUUUACUUUUGUAUGUUUUGGCUUGAGAAGCCUUUUGAUUAAGAUGUAAUAUCAAGUUUAUUUUAUUUGUGUCCAACUUGUAAGACCAUAUUAAUAUGAAUGUCAUUUCAUUUAAUUUAUGUAUAGCUCUUAUGGGCUAGUUAGAUUUAAAUUUAUCAC